rnacentral:rRNA from 1 species
UACAGAGACCUCGAGCGUUAUCCGGAUUUACUGGGUGUAAAGGGUUCGUAGGUGGGAUGGCGGGUCAGGGGUUAAAACUUUGCGCUCAACGCAAAGGCCGCUCCUGAAACUACCAUUCUAGAGAGUGGAAGAGGUAAGCGGAAUUGCGGGUGUAGUCGUAAUAAGCGUUGAUAUCCGCAAGAACACCAAAUGCGAAGGCAGCUUACUGGUACACUUCUGACACUAAGGAACGAAAGCGUGGGGAGCAAACAGG